UACGGGGGGGGCAAGCGUUGAUCGGAAUUACUGGGCGUAAAGGGCGCGUAGGUGGCCAACUAAGUCAGACGUGAAAUCCCCAGGCUAACUUGGGAACUGCGUCUGAUACUGGAUGGCUUGAAUUCGGGAGAGGGAUGCAGAAUUCCAGGUGUAGCGGUGAAAUGCGUAGAUAUCUGGAGGAAUACCGGUGGCGAAGGCGGCAUCCUGGACCGAGAUUGACACUGAUGCGCGAAAGCUAGGGGAGCAAACGGG
rnacentral:rRNA from 1 species